rnacentral:pre_miRNA from 1 species
UUCUUAUUGAAUGAUGACUAUCACAUGUAUGUUCUGAUCAACCAAUGACAACAACAAUAAUUCGACAUCCAAUUAGAACAUGACACGUGACAGUCAUCAUUC